rnacentral:rRNA from 1 species
GCAAGUCGAGGGGUAACAGAUGAAGAGCUUGCUCAGAUUGCUGACGACCGGCGCACGGGUGAGUAACACGUAUGCAACCUACCUUUUACAGAGGGAUAGCCCAGAGAAAUUUGGAUUAAUACCUCAUAGUAUUUUUGAAUCGCAUGAUUUAGAGAUUAAAACUCCGGUGGUAAAAGAUGGGCAUGCGUUCUAUUAGUUAGUUGGUAAGGUAACGGCUUACCAAGACAUCGAUAGAUAGGGGUCCUGAGAGGGAGAUC